GGAUGAACGCUGGCGGCGUGCUUAACACAUGCAAGUCGAACGAGAAAUGGAGACGGAAACCUUCGGGCGGAAGGCUUCAUUUCGAGUGGCGGACGGGUGAGUAACGCGUGGGUAACCUGCCUCAUACAGGGGGAUAACAGUUGGAAACGACUGUUAAUACCGCAUAAGACCACAGCACCGCAUGGUGCGGGGGUAAAAACUCCGGUGGUAUGAGAUGGACCCGCGUUCGAUUAGCCAGUUGGCGGGGUAACGGCCCACCAAAGCGACGAUCGAUAGCCGAUCUGAGAGGAUGACCGGCCACAUUGGGACUGAGACACGGCCCAAACUCCUACGGGAGGCAGCAGUGGGGAAUAUUGCACAAUGGGGGAAACCCUGAUGCAGCGACGCCGCGUGAGUGAAGAAGUACUUCGGUAUGUAAAGCUCUAUCAGCAGGGAAGAAAAUGACGGUACCUGAGGAAGAAGCCCCGGCUAACUACGUG
rnacentral:rRNA from 1 species